rnacentral:rRNA from 1 species
AUUGAACGCUGGCGGCAUGCCUUACACAUGCAAGUCGAACGGUAACGGGCCUUCGGGUGCCGACGAGUGGCGAACGGGUGAGUAAUACAUCGGAACGUGCCCGAUCGUGGGGGAUAACGAGGCGAAAGCUUUGCUAAUACCGCAUACGAUCUACGGAUGAAAGCAGGGGACCGCAAGGCCUUGCGCGGACGGAGCGGCCGAUGGCAGAUUAGGUAGUUGGUGGGAUAAAAGCUUACCAAGCCGACGAUCUGUAGCUGGUCUGAGAGGAUGAUCAGCCACACUGGGACUGAGACACGGCCCAGACUCCUACGGGAGGCAGCAGUGGGGAAUUUUGGACAAUGGGCGCAAGCCUGAUCCAGCCAUGCCGCGUGCAGGAUGAAGGCCUUCGGGUUGUAAACUGCUUUUGUACGGAACGAAAAGCCUUCUUUUAAUACAGGAGGGUCAUGACGGUGCCGUAAGAAUAAGCACCGGCUAACUACGUG